UCGAGAAUAGUCUACAAUGGACGGAAGUCUGAUAGUGCGACGCCGCGUGAACGAAGAAUCCCUUCGGGGUGUAAAGUUCUUUUAUACGUGAGCAGUGCCCUUUAUAUGAAUAGUAUAGAGGGAGGGAUUUAAGCGUAUGAAUAAGCAACGGCUAACUCCGUGCCAGCAGCCGCGGUAACACGGGGGUUGCAAGCGUUGUCCGGAAUUACUAGGCGUAAAGUGCAGGUAGGCGGAUAGAUAAGUUUAAGGUUAAAGGCUACGGCUUACCCGUAGUAAGGCGUUAGAUACUGUUUAUCUGGAAUGCGGUUGAGGGAGACAGAAUUCCUGGUGUAGCGGUGGAAUGCGCAGAGAUCAGGAGGAAUACCGAAGGCGAAGGCAGUCUUCUAAGCCGAUAUUGACG
rnacentral:rRNA from 1 species